rnacentral:rRNA from 1 species
AGGUCUUGACAUCUUCUGCCAAUCUUAGAGAUAAGACGUUCCCUUCGGGGACAGAAUGACAGGUGGUGCAUGGUUGUCGUCAGCUCGUGUCGUGAGAUGUUGGGUUAAGUCCCGCAACGAGCGCAACCCUUAUUAUCAGUUGCCAGCAUUCAGUUGGGCACUCUGGUGAGACUGCCGGUGACAAACCGGAGGAAGGUGGGGAUGACGUCAAAUCAUCAUGCCCCUUAUGACCUGGGCUACACACGUGCUACAAUGGACGGUACAACGAGUCGCGAAGUCGUGAGGCCAAGCUAAUCUCUUAAAGCCGUUCUCAGUUCGGAUUGUAGGCUGCAACUCGCCUACAUGAAGUUGGAAUCGCUAGUAAUCGCGGAUCAGCAUGCCGCGGUGAAUACGUUCCCGGGCCUU